rnacentral:rRNA from 1 species
UACGUAGGUGGCAAGCGUUGUCCGGAUUUAUUGGGUUUAAAGGGUGCGUAGGCGGCCUAUUAAGUCAGUUCUGAAAUAUCCCGGCUUAACCGGGAGGGUGGGAUUGAUACUGAUGGGCUUGAGUGGAAUCGAGGUAGGCGGAAUUGACGGUGUAGCGGUGAAAUGCUUAGAUAUCGUCAAGAACACCGAUAGUGUAGACAGCUUACUAGACUUCAACCGACGCUGAGGCACGAAAGUGUGGGGAUCAAACAGG